UGGGUCGGCCAGACGGUCGCGUCGGAGACACGCCCCCUCGAGGGGGAACGGCUCCGCCGAGGAACGUCCGGGCUCCGCAGAGCAGGGCGGUGGGUAACACCCACCCGGAGCAAUCCGCGAGAAAGUGCAACAGAGAGCAGACCGCCACCGGCCUCGGCCGGGGGUAAGGGUGAAACGGUGGUGUAAGAGACCACCAGGGGCCCGAGUGAUCGGGCUCGCUGGGUAAACCUCGCCCGGAGCAAGGUCAGACAGACACCGUCGAGGCGGCUCGCUGAGGUGUCGGGUAGACCGCUAGAACGUGCCGGCAACGUCACGUCGAGAGAGAUGGCCGUCGAUCGGGCGCAAGCCCGGGAACAGAACCCGGCGUAUCGGCCGGCCCACUUG
rnacentral:RNase_P_RNA from 1 species